rnacentral:rRNA from 1 species
AGCUCCAAUAGCGUAUCUUAAAGUUGCUGCAGUUAAAAAGCUCGUAGUUGGAUCUCGGCGGGCGCCUCGCGGUCCUGUGUUUGCAGCGACUGCUUCGGCGCCCGCGAUCUCCGGCAGAUCCUCGGCGGUGCUCUUAACCGGGUGUCGCCGAGUCCUGCCAGGUUUACUUUGAAAAAAUUAGAGUGCUCAGAGCAGGCCUCACACGCCUGAAUAGUUGUGCAUGGAAUAAUGGAAUAGGACGUCGUUUCUAUUUCGUGGGUUUUCGGAAAUCGACGUAAUGAUUAAUAGGGACAGUCGGGGGCAUUAGUAUUCAGGCGACAGAGGUGAAAUUCUUGGACCGCCUGAAGACUAACCACUGCGAAAGCAUUUGCCAAGAAUGUUUUCA